ensembl:lncRNA
CCGACCAUUGAACUGACCCCCUGGUAUGAUGAAAGCUUUGUUUGUAUUAGGCCAAUAUCUACAGACAGCGGUGGAGUCCAAUGCAAAUAGAUGAUGGAGGGAAGAUUGCAGUUAAGAGAAGACUUUCCACAUAACACAACAUAAUCCACAGUACCGGACUCCAGUGGAGAUUAGACAGAUAGGUCAUAAGAAAAUAAAAAGAAGGGUUUAGUAUGCUGAAAACUGUGUGAGGGGAUGUCCGCGUUCCAAAACAGACAAUCCGACAAGCUUGCCUGUUUCCUGCAGGAGGAGGCCAGAUGUCAGAACAAGCAGCAACCUAGCGGAGAAGACGGAGGGGCCGAAAACUUGAAGUUCAUCCAACGGCCACCAUCCGCACGGAGCUACGUGUUAAAAGGACCAACUUCACGGCCUACAAAGCAGGACAAAUGCAGCGGUGGUACCAGACAGACGUGCGGUGCCUCGGGGGAAACUCCCCUCCUCUGUGGGCCGAAUGCUGCGCAGGGGAAACCAUCACUCACUGUCCAUGCCUCCGUCAGGAUGGUGACGAUGCUGUCUGUUGGUGUAAGCUUGACGGAUGCCUCACAUGCAGGCGGAGGUCGCCCCGAGAGGGUGGAGGGCCACGAGACACCUUCGGCCACUUUCACAGAGAAAGGAUGGAGGACGGAGGCGCGCGUGCAGAGCAGAGCGGAGGUCUGGGAUGAGAAAGGACGGACGGAAUGGGCAAUGAAACCACGUGAGACCUCGGAGGAAGAAAAUGUAUCAUCAUUACUUUGUCAAACGUUUUUUGAAGUACCGGUUUGCCAGGAUUGAUGUUUCUAGGUAAGGGCUUGUUGGUUCUAUAAGGCUCAGGUGAGCUCAAGCGGGUAGGAUUUACACGCGCUUUAAAUCCACUCUGGUGUGCUGCAUUGCAACUCCAAGGAACCGCCAGCAACCUAAUAGGCUGUAAAAGGAAGCCAUUAGGGGGGUAUUUGCCUGUGAAGAACUGCAAUCAACUAGUGCAGGUGUCGAGUCAAUAAAUUACAUUCACACAAAUAACAAAUGCUCAGUUUCUGGUUUAAUUCAAGGCCUCCAGCCGAAAGGAAUAACAUAACAUUUUGGGAACUGUGCUCAUUCUGAGAAUAUCUACGGUAUCAAUCUUACUAUAGGAAAAAAGCACUGACCUCCAAUUAUGAGCAACUGUUCUGUAGGUAAAGUGUGGAGCACAAAAAGCACAGAAAAUUAAACACAAUUAGCGAAAUGAAUGAGCAAAUUAUGAAGGAUUGCGG